rnacentral:rRNA from 1 species
AUGAGGCGCCUCGUGUUCGCGGAGCUGGUGGUCCUCCUCGCCGCGGCGCUGCUGCUCCCCGUCGUGAUCUGUUGCCGGCGCUGGAGCGGCGGCGUCGCGCGGCCGCUGCCCGUCUCGGAGCAGCCCGGCGCCGGCGCCAGCAGGAAGGAGCGCCGCGUCGAGCGGCUCCGGCGGGCGCUCCACGCCCUGCGCGUCUGGUGCCGCCGCUCCCGCGUCGAGCCGGCGGCCUCCCCGUCCACGUCCCCGUCCCCGUCUCCGGACGACGGCGCGCAGGCGCAGGGGGAGGUUCAGCCGGAGCGGGUGGCUGCCGCGGCGGCGGAGCAGGCGGGGCCCGAGGAGGAGGGCGUGGCGGCGUGGAGGGAGCGCUGGUUCGGCAGCCCCGGGUCGCGCGCGCUCUACACCAUCGAGGAGGCGUCGGAGACGGAGGGCGACGUGGAGAGCCAGUGCGGAGGAGCAGCCGAGCACCAGGAGGAGCCCGAGACGCCGUUCUACACGCCGCCGGCCUCGCCGCCGCACGACGCGGGGCAGCCGGAGCGCGGCGAGAGCAGCUAG